GACGAACGCUGGCGGCGCGCCUAACACAUGCAAGUCGAACGAGCGAGAGGGAGCUUGCUUUCUCAAGCGAGUGGCGAACGGGUGAGUAACGCGUGAGGAACCUGCCUCAAAGAGGGGGACAACAGUUGGAAACGACUGCUAAUACCGCAUAAGCCCACAGGUCGGCAUCGACCAGAGGGAAAAGGAGCAAUCCGCUUUGAGAUGGCCUCGCGUCCGAUUAGCUAGUUGGUGAGGUAACGGCCCACCAAGGCAACGAUCGGUAGCCGGACUGAGAGGUUGAACGGCCACAUUGGGACUGAGACACGGCCCAGACUCCUACGGGAGGCAGCAGUGGGGAAUAUUGCACAAUGGGGGAAACCCUGAUGCAGCGACGCCGCGUGGAGGAAGAAGGUCUUCGGAUUGUAAACUCCUGUUGUUGAGGAAGAUAAUGACGGUACUCAACAAGGAAGUGACGGCUAACUACGUG
rnacentral:rRNA from 1 species